rnacentral:rRNA from 1 species
UCCUACGGGAGGCAGCAGCAAGGAAUUUUCGUCAAUGGGCGCAAGCCUGAACGAGCAACGCCGCGUGGAGGAUGAAGGCCUUCGGGUUGUAAACUCCUUUUGAGGGGAACGAUAAUGACGGUACCCUUCGAAUAAGCCCCGACUAACUCUGUGCCAGCAGCCGCGGUAAU